rnacentral:rRNA from 1 species
CAAUACAAGGCAUACGGCUCAGUAACGCGUAGUCAACCUACCCUAUGGACGGAAAUAACCUCGGGAAACUGAGAAUAAUAUCCGAUAGAACAUUAUGCCUGGAAUGGUUUAUGUUCCAAAUGAUUUAUCGCCGUAGGAUGGGACUGCGGCCUAUCAGUUUGUUGGUGAGGUAAUGGCCCACCAAGACUAUUACAGGUACGGGCUCUGAGAGGAGUAGCCCGGAGAUGGGUACUGAGACACGGACCCAGGCCCUAUGGGGCGCAGCAGGCGAGAAAACUUUGCAAUGUGCGAAAGCACGACAAGGUUAAUCCGAGUGAUUUCUGCUAAAGAAAUCUUUUGUUAGUCCUAGAAACACUAACGAAUAAGGGGUGGGCGAGUUCUGGUGUCAGCCGCCGCGGUAAAACCAGCACCUCAAGUGGUCAGGAUGAUUAUUGGGCCUAAAGCAUCCGUAGCCGGCCCUGUAAGUCCUCGGUUAAAUCUGUACGCUUAACGUACAGGCUGCCGGGAAUACUGCAUAGCUAGGGAGUGGGAGAGGUAGACGGUACUCGGUAGGAAGGGGUAAAAUCCUUUGAUCUAUUGAUGACCACCUGUGGCGAAGGCGGUCUACCAGAACACGUCCGACGGUGAGGGAUGAAAGCUGGGGGAGCAAACCGGAUUAGAUACCCGGGUAGUCCCAGCUGUAAACUAUGCAAACUCAGUGAUGCAUUGGCUUGUGGCCAAUGCAGUGCUGCAGGGAAGCCGUUAAGUUUGCCGCCUGGGAAGUACGUACGCAAGUAUGAAACUUAAAGGAAUUGGCGGGGGAGCACCACAAGGGGUGAAGCCUGCGGUUCAAUUGGACUCAACGCCGGG